rnacentral:rRNA from 1 species
UAGUGGCGGACGGGUGAGUAACGCGUGAGUAACCUGCCUUCAAGAGGGGGAUAACAUUCUGAAAAGAAUGCUAAUACCGCAUGACAUAUCGGAAUCACAUGAUUUUGAUAUCAAAGAUUUUAUCGCUUGAAGAUGGACUCGCGUCCGAUUAGUUAGUUGGUGAGGUAACGGCUCACCAAGACCGCGAUCGGUAGCCGGACUGAGAGGUUGAACGGCCACAUUGGGACUGAGACACGGCCCAGACUCCUACGGGAGGCAGCAGUGGGGGAUAUUGCGCAAUGGGGGCAACCCUGACGCAGCAACGCCGCGUGAAGGAUGAAGGUUUUCGGAUUGUAAACUUCUUUUAUUAAGGACGAAAAAUGACGGUACUUAAUGAAUAAGCUCCGGCUAACUACGUGCCAGCAGCCGCGGUAAUACGUAGGGAGCAAGCGUUGUCCGGAUUUACUGGGUGUAAAGGGUGCGUAGGCGGCUUUGCAAGUCAGAUGUGAAAUCUAUGGGCUCAACCCAUAAACUGCAUUUGAAACUGUAGAGCUUGAGUGAAGUAGAGGCAGGCGGAAUUCCCCGUGUAGCGGUGAAAUGCGUAGAGAUGGGGAGGAACACCAGUGGCGAAGGCGGCCUGCUGGGCUUUAACUGACGCUGAGGCACGAAAGCGUGGGUAGCAAACAGGAUUAGAUACCCUGGUAGUCCACGCUGUAAACGAUGAUUACUAGGUGUGGGGGGUCUGACCCCUUCCGUGCCGGAGUUAACACA